CACAAAGUCACUACACACAAAUAUAUACUGGCAGACAUACUGACACACACACAGACAUACAUACACAGACACAUACAUUAACAGAUAUACUGACACACACAAACACAUACACUGACAGAUAUACUAAAACACACAGACACAUACACUGACAGACACAUUGACACACACACACAGGCAUACUGACAUAUACACAGACAGACGUAAUGGCUAAUACAGACAGACA